AUGAACGCUGGCGGCGUGCCUAAUACAUGCCAGUCGAGCGAACAGACGAGGAGCUUGCUCCUCUGACGUUAGCGGCGGACGGGUGAGUAACACGUGGAUAACCUACCUAUAAGACUGGGAUAACUUCGGGAAACCGGAGCUAAUACCGGAUAAUAUAUUGAACCGCAUGGUUCAAUAGUGAAAGACGGUUUUGCUGUCACUUAUAGAUGGAUCCGCGCCGCAUUAGCUAGUUGGUAAGGUAACGGCUUACCAAGGCAACGAUGCGUAGCCGACCUGAGAGGGUGAUCGGCCACACUGGAACUGAGACACGGUCCAGACUCCUACGGGAGGCAGCAGUAGGGAAUCUUCCGCAAUGGGCGAAGGCUUGACGGAGCAACGCCGCGUGAGUGAUGAAGGUCUUCGGAUCGUAAAACUCUGUUAUUAGGGAAGAACAAAUGUGUAAGUAACUAUGCACGUCUUGACGGUACCUAAUCAGAAAGCCACGGCUAACUACGUG
rnacentral:rRNA from 1 species